CUGCAGGUUACAAGAAAGAAGGCAGGCUCUGGGCUGCGACAGCACUUGAGUUCUUUCUGAUAAAGGCAUAGAGCUGGCCAUCCAGAGACCCGAAGAGCAUAUGUCUGAAUUCC